rnacentral:rRNA from 1 species
AUUGAACGCUGGCGGCAUGCUUUACACAUGCAAGUCGAACGGCAGCGCGGGCUUCGGCCUGGCGGCGAGUGGCGAACGGGUGAGUAAUGCAUCGGAACGUGCCCAGUAGUGGGGGAUAGCCCGGUGAAAGCCGGAUUAAUACCGCAUACGACCUGAGGGUGAAAGCGGGGGACCGAAAGGCCUCGCGCUAUUGGAGCGGCCGAUGUCGGAUUAGCUAGUUGGUGGGGUAAAGGCUUACCAAGGCGACGAUCCGUAGCUGGUCUGAGGGGACGACCAGCCACACUGGGACUGAGACACGGCCCAGACUCCUACGGGAGGCAGCAGUGGGGAAUUUUGGACAAUGGGGGCAACCCUGAUCCAGCCAUGCCGCGUGCGGGAAGAAGGCCUUCGGGUUGUAAACCGCUUUUGUUCGGGAAGAAAUCCUCUGGGCUAAUACCCCGGGGGGAUGACGGUACCGGAAGAAUAAGCACCGGCUAACUACGUG